ACUCAAAUGAAUUGACGGGGGCCCGCACAAGCGGUGGAGCAUGUGGUUUAAUUCGACGCUAAACGAAGAACCUUACCUGGGCUUGAAGUCGUAGGAAUUUUUCCGAAAGGAAAAAGUGCCGCAAGGAGCCUACGAAUCAGGUGCUGCAUGGCCGUCGUCAGCUCGUGUCGUGAGAUGUUCGGUUAAGUCCGUAAACGAGCGCAACCCUUACCCUGCGUUAGAUUUCACACAGGGGACCGCCGGCCUAUCGCCGGAGGAAGGCGAGGAUGACGUCAGGUCAGCAUGGCCCUCUGACGCCCAGGGCUACACACGUGCUACAAUGGCGAGGACAAUGGGCAGCGAAGUCGCGAGAUGGAGCUAAUCCCAACAAACCUCGUCCCAGUUCGGAUUGGAGGCUGCAAUUCGCCUCCAUGAAGUCGGAAUCGCUAGUAAUCGCUGGUCAGCUAUACAGCGGUGAAUACGUUCUCGGGCCUUGUACACACCGCCCGU
rnacentral:rRNA from 1 species